rnacentral:rRNA from 1 species
AGUGAACGCUGGCGGUAGGCCUAACACAUGCAAGUCGAACGGCAGCACAGUAAGAGCUUGCUCUUACGGGUGGCGAGUGGCGGACGGGUGAGGAAUACAUCGGACUCUACUUUUUCGUGGGGGAUAACGUAGGGAAACUUACGCUAAUACCGCAUACGACCUACGGGUGAAAGCAGUGGAUCUUCGGACCUUGCGCGAUUGAAUGAGCCGAUGUCGGAUUAGCUAGUUGGCGGGGUAAAGGCCCACCAAGGCGACGAUCCGUAGCUGGUCUGAGAGGAUGAUCAGCCACACUGGAACUGAGACACGGUCCAGACUCCUACGGGAGGCAGCAGUGGGGAAUAGGGGACAAUGGGCGCAAGCCUGAUCCAGCCAUACCGCGUGGGUGAAGAAGGCCUUCGGGUUGUAAAGCCCUUUUGUUGGGAAAGAAAAGCAGCAGGUUAAUACCCCGCUGUUCUGACGGUACCCAAAGAAUAAGCACCGGCUAACUUCGUG